GACGAACGCUGGCGGCGUGCUUAACACAUGCAAGUCGAACGGAAAGGCCCUGCUCUUGUGGGGUGCUCGAGUGGCGAACGGGUGAGUAACACGUGAGUAACCUGUCCUUGACUUUGGGAUAACUUCAGGAAACUGGGGCUAAUACCGGAUAGGAGCUCCUGCUGCAUGGUGGGGGUUGGAAAGUUUCGGCGGUGGGGGAUGGACUCGCGGCUUAUCAGCUUGUUGGUGGGGUUGUGGCUUACCAAGGCUUUGACGGGUAGCCGGCCUGAGAGGGUGACCGGCCACAUUGGGACUGAGAUACGGCCCAGACUCCUACGGGAGGCAGCAGUGGGGAAUAUUGCACAAUGGGCGGAAGCCUGAUGCAGCAACGCCGCGUGCGGGAUGACGGCCUUCGGGUUGUAAACCGCUUUCGCCUGUGACGAAGCGUGAGUGACGGUAAUGGGUAAAGAAGCACCGGCUAACUACGUG
rnacentral:rRNA from 1 species